CCAGCCACCACUACCACCAAAACCAGCACCAUCUUCUCCGAUACGAUCGUAUUUUGUUAUGUUUCAGAUCAAAUAAAACUCUGUUACUACCAUCAUCUUCUUCUCCGACGGAAAAGUUUCUCUUCUUUGAUUAUGAUGAAUAUUUUAUUAAGAUUUUGGAGUUUGAGAGAGAUUAAGGUUUUCAAUUAUGCAUUCUAUUUCUCUAUUUUAAUUUUUGGUGGUGACAUUGGUGGUAACGGUGGUCGAAUUGAUAAAUCUAGGGUUAGGGGUUCGAGCUACUGGUGGUAGUGUGGUAACUAGUUGCGAUUUUGAUUUUUUUAGAUACUUUGAACAUACAUUCUUGUCAAUUUGAUUGCUCGAUCUAAAAAAGUGACUAACAUUAUUAUGGUGUUUUUAGAAGAAAUUGAUAUUGAAGGAGGUGGUGGCAGUGGUGAUGGUGGAGAAGGAUUAUUUGAAACUAUGUGAAAAUAUCGAAUCAAACACAAAAGUAAUUUAGGGUUGCUCAAAUAAAUUCCUCGAGUACUAUUAGAAGCUCAAGGAGUAAGAACGACGAUGUGGUGGUGGUGGUGGCGUCGACAGUGGAGGAGGUGUGCAGGAGUAUUGGUACCAUUCAUCUUGUUGCUCGGAUAAGGUCUAUCUUUAGUCAAUAUUUUUACAAAGAAAUGUUGCUGCAGUUAAGGAUUCCUACUUGAAUUUGCAAUGCUGGAGGUAGCGGAUGCCGCAGUGGAGGUGGUUUGUUGUGUUAGCAGUAGUGGUGAUGGUAGUGGAUGUUACAGUUGUGGUGGGGUAGUUGCGGGAGACAAUAUGAACUUGUGUUGGAUGCGCACAAAUUACUAGGUAUAUAUGUGUUACAAAACAUGAACGUUUGUGUUGUUUUAUACAUCGGUAGGUGUAAUAUAUCUAUUUGGAUGUGAUUUUGAUAUGUCAUUUUGCAUUAACGAAGUUGUGGUGCAACGGUAGCACAACUGACUCUAUGUCA